rnacentral:ncRNA from 1 species
UUUAAGGUGCCAUAUUUGGAUAAUAGGGAAUUAGGUGAAAAUCCUAAACGGUCCCGCCGCUGUAAAAUCGCUUAUAGAAUAUAUUCACUGUGAAAGUGGGAAGGAUAUAUUUAUUUAGAUUGAGUCAGAAGACCUGCCUUAAAAAUUAUA